CAAUUGAUGAUGAGAACAUCUGGCUUAUGUUGCUGAGAGACACAUACAAGUGGCAAUCUGAGGUAC